rnacentral:rRNA from 1 species
UCAGAUUGAACGCUGGCGGCAGGCCUAACACAUGCAAGUCGAACGGAAACAUGUCUAGCUUGCUAGAUGAUGUCGAGUGGCGGACGGGUGAGUAAUGCUUGGGAACUUGCCUUUGCGAGGGGGAUAACAGUUGGAAACGACUGCUAAUACCGCAUAAUGUCUACGGACCAAACAGGGCUUUUAGCUCUGGCGCAAAGAGAGGCCCAAGUGAGAUUAGCUAGUUGGUGAGGUAAAGGCUCACCAAGGCAACGAUCUCUAGCUGUUCUGAGAGGAAGAUCAGCCMCACUGGGACUGAGACACGGCCCAGACUCCUACGGGAGGCAGCAGUGGGGAAUAUUGCACAAUGGGGGAAACCCUGAUGCAGCCAUGCCGCGUGUGUGAAGAAGGCCUUCSGGUUGUAAAGCACUUUCAGUUGUGAGGAAAAGUUAGUAGUUAAUACCUGCUAGCCCGUG